rnacentral:lncRNA from 1 species
GGUGAGGUGGGCAUCCCUGCUUGUUCCAGUUCUCAGAGGGAAUGCUUUCAACUUUUCCCCAUUCAGUAUUCUACUGACUGUGGGUUUGUCACAGAUGGCUUCUUUACAUUGAGAUGGAGUCUCACUCUUGUCUCCCCAGCUGGAGUGCAAUGGUGCGAUCUCGGCUCACUGCAACCUCCGCCUCCCAGGUUCAAGUGAUUCUCCUGUCUCAGCCUCUCCAGUAGCUGGGAUUACAGAAAGAGAAGGCAUGUGAAGAGACAGACACAUACACAGAGAGACUCCCUGCAAGGACUGCAGUUAUGCUGCCUCCAGCCAAGCCACUACCAGAGGCCAGGAGAGAGGCUUGGAAGAGAUCCUGCCCCAGGAUCCUCAGAGGGAACAUGGCCCUGCUGACUCCUUGAUCUUGGACUUCUGGCACCUCCAUAACUGUGAGAUAAUAAAUUGCUGUUGCUCUAAGCCACCUACUUUGUGAUACUUUGUGACAAUGGUCC